rnacentral:rRNA from 1 species
AGAGUUUGAUCCUGGCUCAGAUUGAACGCUGGCGGAACGCUUUACACAUGCAAGUCGAACGGUAACGUGGGGAGGAGCUUGCUCCACCCCGACGACGAGUGGCGAACGGGUGAGUAAUACAUCGGAACGUGUCCGCUCGUGGGGGACAACCAGCCGAAAGGUUGGCUAAUACCGCAUGAGUUCUACGGAAGAAAGAGGGGGACCCGCAAGGGCCUCUCGCGAGCGGAGCGGCCGAUGACUGAUUAGCCGGUUGGUGAGGUAACGGCUCACCAAAGCAACGAUCAGUAGCUGGUCUGAGAGGACGACCAGCCACACUGGGACUGAGACACGGCCCAGACUCCUACGGGAGGCAGCAGUGGGGAAUUUUGGACAAUGGGCGCAAGCCUGAUCCAGCUAUUCCGCGUGUGGGAUGAAGGCCCUCGGGUUGUAAACCACUUUUGUAGAGAACGAAAAGACACCAUCGAAUAAAUGGUGUUGCUGACGGUACUCUAAGAAUAAGCACCGGCUAACUACGUGCCAGCAGCCGCGGUAAUACGUAGGGUGCGAGCGUUAAUCGGAAUUACUGGGCGUAAAGGGUGCGCAGGCGGUUGAGUAAGACAGAUGUGAAAUCCCCGAGCUUAACUCGGGAAUGGCAUAUGUGACUGCUCGACUAGAGUGUGUCAGAGGGAGGUGGAAUUCCACGUGUAGCAGUGAAAUGCGUAGAUAUGUGGAAGAACACCGAUGGCGAAGGCAGCCUCCUGGGACAUAACUGACGCUCAGGCACGAAAGCGUGGGGAGCAAACAGGAUUAGAUACCCUGGUAGUCCACGCCCUAAACGAUGUUAACUAGUUGUUGGGAUGUAACAAUCUCAGUAACGCAGCCAACGCGAGAAGUUAACCGCCUGGGAAGUACGGUCGCAAGACUAAAACUCAAAGGAAUUGACGGGGACCCGCACAAGCGGUGGAUGAUGUGGAUUAAUUCGAUGCAACGCGAAAAACCUUACCUACCCUUGACAUGUCAGGAAGCUCUUGUAAUGAGAGCGUGCCCGCAAGGGAGCCUGAACACAGG